rnacentral:piRNA from 1 species
UACGGUUAGGAUGGGUCAUCGUUUG